rnacentral:rRNA from 1 species
CCUUGAAAUACCACCCUUUAAUGUUUGAUGUUCUAACGUUGACCCGUGAUCCGGGUUGCGGACAGUGUCUGGUGGGUAGUUUGACUGGGGCGGUCUCCUCCUAAAGAGUAACGGAGGAGCACGAAGGUUGGCUAAUCCUGGUCGGACAUCAGGAGGUUAGUGCAAUGGCAUAAGCCAGCUUGACUGCGAGCGUGACGGCGCGAGCAGGUGCGAAAGCAGGUCAUAGUGAUCCGGUGGUUCUGAAUGGAAGGGCCAUCGCUCAACGGAUAAAAGGUACUCCGGGGAUAACAGGCUGAUACCGCCCAAGAGUUCAUAUCGACGGCGGUGUUUGGCACCUCGAUGUCGGCUCAUCACAUCCUGGGGCUGAAGUAGGUCCCAAGGGUAUGGCUGUUCGCCAUUUAAAGUGGUACGCGAGCUGGGUUUAGAACGUCGUGAGACAGUUCGGUCCCUAUCUGCCGUGGGCGCUGGAGAACUGAGGGGGGCUGCUCCUAGUACGAGAGGACCGGAGUGGACGCAUCACUGGUGUUCGGGUUGUCAUGCCAAUGGCACUGCCCGGUAGCUAAAUGCGGAAGAGAUAAGUGCUGAAAGCAUCUAAGCACGAAACUUGCCCCGAGAUGAGUUCUCCCUGACUCCUUGAGAGUCCUGAAGGAACGUUGAAGACGACGACGUUGAUAGGCCGGGUGUGUAAGCGCAGCGAUGCGUUGAGCUAACCGGUACUAAUGAACCGUGAGGCUUAACCUU